GAGCCGGUAGCUCAGCCGGUAGAGCAUCGGCCUUUUAAGCCGUUGGUCGUGGGUUCGAAUCCCACCCGGCUCA
rnacentral:tRNA from 1 species